rnacentral:lncRNA from 1 species
GUAAACAUUAGAUAAUACAAUUAUCAACGUAAGCACCUAGUCAGAUAUACUUAUUCCACGAAAUCAUGUGAAAAUGCUCUCUCUCUCUCUCUCUCUCUCUCUCUCUCUCUCUCUCUCUCUCUCUCUCUUCCGUUAAAAAGAGAACAAUAAAAAUGAGAAUAAAAAAAGAAGCAUGAAAUUGAAAUUUAAUCCAAAAUAGAAUAAAACUUCACCCAAAAAGUAGAUAUUUUGAAAGCGGAUAUUUUUUCAACACCCCAACUCUCAAGGUCCAUUUCCAAUUCAUUUCUCUACUUUUCCAAAUGAAAAUACGAAACAUUUUAACAAAAACAUUUCCACGAUAACAACAUCAGCCAAGUAACCAACAUGAAUUGAACAAAUUAAUGUAUUAAACAAAGCAUAAUUAUUAGUAUUGGUACAACAAAUGAAGUCAUUAUGAAAAUUGGUUCAAACUUGAUUUAAAAAGCACAAACUUGAGAAAUUUCAUAUUUUGAAAUAUUUCAAACUAA